rnacentral:tRNA from 1 species
CACACGCAGAAGGGGUUGGGCCACCCGUCGGCACUGCCGGUGCCCAGCAGUACGACCUCGAUGGUCCAACCCCUUCCGUGCGUGUC